rnacentral:sRNA from 1 species
ACUUAGGAAUGGAGAUGGGCUAGAAGAGAUGUAGAGGUCAUCUGGAAGAGUGGGGGACAGCAAGCUGUGCCAUCUGAAAAUGCUAGGUACAGGGUCAACUACACAGACUCCUGGAGCAGACAGGAGUCUAACAUGGCUGUCCUCUGAGACGCUCCACCCAGCACCCGACUCAGACAGAUACAGACAGCCACCAUCUAAAGGUGAAUGGAGCUUGAGGACUUUUAUGGAAGAAUAAGAGGAAGGAUUGGAGCCCCAAACGGGAUAGGAACUCCACAGGAAGAGCAACAGAGUCAACUAACCUGGACCCUUGGGACUCUCACAGUACAAAUUUACUCUUAAUCUUUAUGUACUGUUUCAUUGGAUGUUACUGCAAAACAUGAAUCAGCAUGUCUGGUUUCAAGUGAUCAUGGAUACAGAAAAUUCCAUUUACACAGAAGAAUACUACCUGGCUAUGAAAAACGACAACUUCAUGAAUUUUGCAGCAAAAUGGAUGGAACUAGUAAAUAUUGGCCUGAGUGAGGUAACCCAUACACGAAAGGAGCUACAUGUCCUUUUGCAUUCAUGGCAAAUGCAUAUGUGUGCACAUGAAGUGAAUGAACAGGAAAAAGUCUAACUCUCCAUUUCAACAGAUGAUAUAUUGCUGGAUGCCCAAGUCAGUUAUAUCAGCCAGUCACACACAUAGAGAUUUUAUUAGAGUACCAGGAAAUGCAGAUAUCAAUAUUCCAAUGUGCUAUCAUGUGAAAGUUUGCAUAACUGUGCCAAGGAGUAAAAAUGGAAUUGCUCUGUAUAAUGAAAGUGACAAUGAUGGAUGGAGAUAUAGCAUAAGCCCCUGCUGCUGAAGAUGCCAUGCAUUUAUGACACAGGUAGUCAAGAUAUCUGAGAUGGAACUAACCUUAAUGCAUCAUCCCUGAGGAACAUCUUUCAUGGCACCACAAGGAGCAAGCACCCAAAGGAGGUAAGCAAACAGUAGUCUUACUCAGCUAUGACUAGUAGGCUAUAGUAGCACUAAGGGUGAGGUAGUGACAUGCAUACCUUGGCAGAAACCAAUAGCUAGCUGGAGCGUAAACCUACUCAACAAACUUAACUGAUAGAGGAAACAGUUAAAUUCUCAGUGCUAGAGAAGUCAGGGACUUGGGAGAAAAUCCUACAGCCACCACUCCACCAAAACAAGUGUUAUUCAUUUCUCAUUUCAAAAGUUUAUAAUCACAGACUCGUCUCAUCCUUAUCACACAUCAAACGAAAUCUUUACAACAGGUAGAAAAUAGUUAUGGAACAUCACAACCAACUAUACUACAGAGCUGUGGAAUCCAGUUCCAGUAAAUAUAUCUAGAAAACUUCUGCUUCAGCAGAUUGUGAAACAGUGCAAAGUAAAGGGCAGAAAGAUUAAGAGCCAGAUGAUCAUGGAGUUUUCUGCAACAGUACGUAUUCUAACAAUCUCAGAGGCUACACCCCUGAAGUAUCACAAGCAGAACAGCCUAAAUGUGAGCUAAAUAAAGACAAUAACAAUAGACAUGCCAAUACAGACAAGGAAAGACCAUAAAGCCUCAGCCUUACACAAAGUAUUAGAAGCAUCUAAAGAAUAGUAAAAACAGGAGAAAAAUAUCUUUCCCAGGGAUCCAUACGCCAACUGGUUGUCCACUGUUAAUUGAUCAGUCUUGAAAACAAAUAUUUAAGUAAUGUUAUACAGUCA